rfam:Oryza glumipatula chromosome 10, whole genome shotgun sequence.
AAAAAAGACAAACCCAGGUUUCCGUGUCCAACGUUUGACCGUCCGUCUUAUUUGAAAAAAUUAUGAAAAAAUUAAAAAGAUAAGUCACGCAUAAAGUAUUAAUCAUGUUUUGUCAUCUAACAAUAAUGAAAAUACUAAUUAUAAAAAAAUUUCAUAUAAAACGAACAGUCAAACGUUGGCACAAAACCCAGGGUUUGCUUUUUUU